GAUGAAGAACGUAGCGAAAUGCGAUACGUAAUGUGAAUUGCAGAAUUCAGUGAAUCAUCGAGUCUUUGAACGCACAUUGCGCCCGCCAGUAUUCUGGCGGGCAUGCCUGUUCGAGCGUCAUUUCAACCCUCAAGCCCAGCUUGGUGUUGGGGAUCGGCACAGGCGCCCUCGGGCGCCCGCCGUCCCCUAAAUCUAGUGGCGGUCCCGCUGCAGCCUCCUCUGCGUAGUAGUUUUCUCCUCGCAAGGGCAGCUCGGUGGCGACCUCGCCGUAAAACCCCCAACUUCUGAAAGGUUGACCUCGAAUCAGGUAGGAAUACCCGCUGAACUUAAGCAUAUCAAUAAGCGGAGGA
rnacentral:misc_RNA from 1 species